GUUAAAGGGUUCGUAGUUGAAUUGUGGGCCACCGAGAAGACAGGUAAGUCCCCUUCCCACCACGGGUCGUGACUCCUGCGCUUGGGGCUCGAGAACGUUCGAAACUACUAUCACGGGAGCGUUUCCCUCACCUACGCGUGCAAUGUGCGCCGAGGGACGCCUGUGUUCAUUACUGUGACUAAAAAAGGGCGACUAAAGCAGUCCAUCGACAUGAAUUAGAAAGCAUGGGAUAACAAAGGAGCAGCCUAUAGGCUACAUUCAGCUUUUGUUGGUUUUACAGGUCUGUAGGAGAUUAUGGGCGCGCAUGACAAGCGGUUCGGGGUUCGUCCCCACGCCUCCGGUGAUGUCCGUUGGCUCCCAGUGGGUCGCGGCUCAUCGGCUUGCGCUGUCCAGGAAUGAAGGAGGGUUGUUCGGGGGAGAACGUACUUGGGC
rnacentral:rRNA from 1 species